rnacentral:lncRNA from 1 species
GCCAGUUUUAACUUACUGACUUUCCAACCCGCUCCAUCCUUGUUGGCACCUACAAGAGAAAUGCUAUCACACAUCUGCAUCAGACAAUGAGUAUGUUUCCUGGAUAUUUUGAGGACAACUUUCCAGAUUUGCAAAAUACAGUCAACUGACCCACAGAAACUCUUGAUGCCUCCUCACCAGUCCCCUGAGUUCCUUCCCUGGUUGCACACUCAAUGAGAGAAGCCACAUCAUGGAGGACUCUGCUCAAAUGGCAAGAGGAGAAGGUGGUGCAAGAUCAGUCUGCUGAGACCUCCAUCUUUGCUGAGCUGGGUGGCAUUCCUGCCAGAACAAUGUGCUGUGACAAGUCACUGGAAUUGUCUUGUGCUUUUGGCAAAUCCAUAAGAAGAAAAGUGAACUCAAGAGUGACAUAGAGGAAAUAAUUCAAAUACCAAGAUCUAAAUCUGAUUUCUUAACAUCCAGGCCUCAAAGGGAUGCAUCAUGAGUCAUUAAGAAAAGCUUGUAUAUGGGGCCAACCCAGUGGCAUAGCGGUUUAGUGCCCUCGUUCCACUUCGGCGGCCCGGGGUUCACUGGUUCAGAUCCCGGGUGCAGACAUGGCACUCCUUGGCAAGCCAUGCUGUGGUCUACCAAGGAGUUGCAGCUCAGAUGAUCUCACCUGGGAUUGGCUGGAUUAGGCUGGAUUUCAGGUAGUUCAGACUACUAGUCUUUUGUUGCAUCUGGAUUUUGAGUUGUAUUUAGAAAGCAUCUCCUCCCACCUACGUCAUAGAGAAAGUCACCCAUAUUUUCUCCUAACACAGGUGGGUUUCAUUCUUGAUCCAUCCUAUUGGAGUUUAUUCUUGUAUAUGGCUUUCCAGUGGUCCUCAAAAUAUUUAUUAAAAAGUCUAUUUUUGUCCCAGUAAUUGGAGAUUCCACGUACUAAGUUUCCACAUAUAUUUGGGUCUAUUCCUCGACUUUCUAUCCUAUUCCA